CCUACGGGGGGCUGCAGUCGAGAAUCAUUCACAAUGGGGGAAACCCUGAUGGUGCGACGCCGCGUGGGGGAAUGCAGGUCUUCGGAUUGUAAACUCCUGUCAUGUGGGAGCAAAUUAAAAAGAUAGUACCACAAGAGGAAGAGACGGCUAACUCUGGGCCAGGAGCUGCGGUAAUACAGAGGGCUCAAGCGUUGUUCGGAAUCACUGGGCGUAAAGCGUGCGUAGGCUGUUUCGUAAGUCGUGUGUGAAAGGCGCGGGCUCAACCCGCGGACGGCACCUGAUACUGCGAGACUAGAGUAAAGGAGAGGGAACCGGAAUUCGCGGUGUAGCAGUGAAAUGCGUAGAUAUCGAGAGGAACACUCGUGGCGAAGGCGGGUUCCUGGACAUUAACUGACGCUGAGGCACGAAGGCCAGGGGAGCGAAAGGGAUUAGAUACCCUUGUAGUC
rnacentral:rRNA from 1 species